rnacentral:rRNA from 1 species
AGUGGCGGACGGGUGAGUAACGCGUGGGUAACCUGCCUCACACUGGGGGAGUAACAGUUAGAAAUAGCUGCUAAUACCGCAUAAGCGCACAGUUCCGCAUGGAACAGUGUGUAAAACUCCGGUGGUGUGAGAUGGACCCGCGUCUGAUUAGCCAGUUGGCGGGGUAACGGCCCACCAAAGCGACGAUCAGUAGCCGGCCUGAGAGGGUGAACGGCCACAUUGGGACUGAGACACGGCCCAAACUCCUACGGGAGGCAGCAUG